GAUGAACGCUGGCGGCGUGCCUAAUACAUGCAAGUCGAGCGCGAGAGUGAGGAGCUUGCUCCUCAUAAUCGAGCGGCGGACGGGUGAGUAACACGUAGGCAACCUACCCUUGAGAUUGGGAUAACUACCGGAAACGGUAGCUAAUACCGGAUACGACUUUUCCACACAAGUGGAAUGGUUAAAAGGCGGAUUUAUCUGCCGCUCAUGGAUGGGCCUGCGGUGCAUUAGCUAGUUGGUGAGGUAGUGGCUCACCAAGGCGACGAUGCAUAGCCGACCUGAGAGGGUGAUCGGCCACACUGGGACUGAGACACGGCCCAGACUCCUACGGGAGGCAGCAGUAGGGAAUCUUCCGCAAUGGACGCAAGUCUGACGGAGCAACGCCGCGUGAGUGAUGAAGGGUUUCGGCUCGUAAAACUCUGUUGUUAAGGAAGAACACUUGAGGUAGUAACUGGCCUUGAGAUGACGGUACUUAACCAGAAAGCCACGGCUAACUACGUGCCAGCAGCCGCCGUAA
rnacentral:rRNA from 1 species